rnacentral:rRNA from 1 species
CCUACGGGAGGCAUCAGUGAGGAAUAUUGGUCAAUGGACGAGAGUCUGAACCAGCCAAGUAGCGUGAAGGAUGACUGCCCUAUGGGUUGUAAACUUCUUUUAUAUGGGAAUAAAAUGUUCCACGUGUGGGAUUUUGUAUGUAUCAUAUGAAUAAGGAUCGGCGAACUCCGUGCCAGCAGCCGCGGUAAUACGGAGGAUCCGAGCGUUAUCCGGAUUUAGUGGGUUUAAAGGGAGCGUAGGUGGAUUGUUAAGUCAGUUGUGAAAGUUUGCGGCUCAACCGUAAAAUUGCAGUUGAAACUGGCAGUCUUGAGUACAGUAGAGGUGAGCGGAAUUCGUGGUGUAGCGGUGAAAUGCUUAGAUAUCACGAAGAACUCCGAUUGCGAAGGCAGCUCACUGGACUGCAACUGACACUGAGGCUCGAAAGUGUGGGUAUCAAACAGGAUUAGAUACCCUAGUAGUC